AUUGAACGCUGGCGGCGCGCCUAACACAUGCAAGUCGAACGAGAGAGAGGAAGCUUGCUUCCUCGAUCGAGUGGCGAACGGGUGAGUAACGCGUGAGGAACCUGCCUCAAAGAGGGGGACAACAGUUGGAAACGACUGCUAAUACCGCAUAAGCCCACGGCCCGGCAUCGGGUUGAGGGAAAAGGAGCAAUCCGCUUUGAGAUGGCCUCGCGUCCGAUUAGCUAGUUGGUGAGGUAACGGCCCACCAAGGCGACGAUCAGUAGCCGGCCUGAGAGGGUGAACGGCCACAUUGGGACUGAGACACGGCCCAAACUCCUACGGGAGGCAGCAGUGGGGAAUAUUGCACAAUGGAGGAAACUCUGAUGCAGCGACGCCGCGUGAGUGAAGAAGUAAUUCGUUAUGUAAAGCUCUAUCAGCAGGGAAGAUAGUGACGGUACCUGACUAAGAAGCUCCGGCUAAAUACGUG
rnacentral:rRNA from 1 species